rnacentral:rRNA from 1 species
UACGUAGGGUGCGAGCGUUGUCCGGAAUUAUUGGGCGUAAAGAGCUCGUAGGCGGCUUGUCACGUCGGGUGUGAAAGCCCGGGGCUUAACCCCGGGUCUGCAUUCGAUACGGGCAGGCUAGAGUGUGGUAGGGGGAGAUCGGAAUUCCUGGUGUAGCGGUGAAAUGCGCAGAUAUCAGGAGGAACACCGGUGGCGAAGGCGGAUCUCUGGGCCAUUACUGACGCUGAGGAGCGAAAGCGUGGGGAGCGAACAGG